AGGGCACCACCAGGAGUGGAGCCUGCGGCUUAAUUUGACUUAACACGGGAAAUCUCACCAGGCCCGGACACCGGAAGGAUUGACAGAUUGAGAGCUCUUUCUUGAUUCGGUGGGUGGUGGUGCAUGGCCGUUCUUAGUUGGUGGAGCGAUUUGUCUGGUUAAUUCCGAUAACGAACGAGACUCUGGCCUACUAACUAGAUAUUGAAUCCCUUUGUGGGUUCUAUACAGCUUCUUAGAGGGACGGGCGGCGUUUAGCCGCACGAGAAUGAGCAAUAACAGGUCUGUGAUGCCCUUAGAUGUUCUGGGCUGCACGCGCGCUACACUGAAAGAAUCAGCGUGUGUUCCCGAUCCGAGAGGACUGGGAAACCCGUUGAACCUCUUUCGUGAUGGGGAUUGGAGAUUGCAAUUAUUCUCCAUGAACGAGGAAUUCCCAGUAGGCGCGAGUCAUAAGCUUGCGUCGAUUACGUCCCUGCCCUUUGUACACACCGCCCGUCGCUACUACCGAUCGAGUGAUUUAGU
rnacentral:rRNA from 1 species